UACAGAGGUCUCAAGCGUUGUUCGGAUUCAUUGGGCGUAAAGGGUGCGUAGGCGGCGCGGUAAGUCGGGUGUGAAAUCUCGGAGCUUAACUCCGAAACUGCAUUCGAUACUGCCGUGCUUGAGGACUGGAGAGGAGACUGGAAUUUACGGUGUAGCGGUGAAAUGUGUAGAGAUCGGGAGGAACACCGGUGGCGAAGGCGGCCUUCUGGACGGUGACUGACGCUGAGGCGCGAAAGCGUGGGGAGCAAACGGG
rnacentral:rRNA from 1 species